rnacentral:rRNA from 1 species
UACGAAGGGGGCUAGCGUUGCUCGGAAUCACUGGGCGUAAAGCGCACGUAGGCGGCUUUUUAAGUCAGGGGGUGAAAUCCUGGAGCUCAACUCCAGAACUGCCUUUGAUACUGGAGAAGCUUGAGUCCGGGAGAGGUGAGUGGAACUGCGAGUGUAGAGGUGAAAUUCGUAGAUAUUCGCAAGAACACCAGUGGCGAAGGCGGCCUGGCUGGGCCGAUCCUGACGCUGAGGCGCGAAGGCGUGG